rnacentral:rRNA from 1 species
CUUACACAUGCAAGUCGAACGGCAGCGCGGGGCAACCUGGCGGCGAGUGGCGAACGGGUGAGUAAUAUAUCGGAACGUGCCCUGGAGUGGGGGAUAACGCAGCGAAAGUUGCGCUAAUACCGCAUACGAUCUAAGGAUGAAAGCGGGGGAUUCGCAAGAACCUCGUGCUCCUGGAGCGGCCGAUAUCUGAUUAGCUAGUUGGUGGGGUAAAGGCCUACCAAGGCAUCGAUCAGUAGCUGGUCUGAGAGGACGACCAGCCACACUGGAACUGAGACACGGUCCAGACUCCUACGGGAGGCAGCAGUGGGGAAUUUUGGACAAUGGGCGAAAGCCUGAUCCAGCAAUGCCGCGUGAGUGAAGAAGGCCUUCGGGUUGUAAAGCUCUUUUGUCAGGGAAGAAACGGUGAAGGCUAAUAUCCUUUGCUAAUGACGGUACCUGAAGAAUAAGCACCGGCUAACUACGUGCCAGCAGCCGCGGUAAUACGUAGGGUGCAAGCGUUAAUCGGAAUUACUGGGCGUAAAGCGUGCGCAGGCGGUUUUGUAAGUCUGUCGUGAAAUCCCCGGGCUCAACCUGGGAAUUGCGAUGGAGACUGCAAGGCUAGAAUCUGGCAGAGGGGGGUAGAAUUCCACGUGUAGCAGUGAAAUGCGUAGAGAUGUGGAGGAACACCGAUGGCGAAGGCAGCCCCCUGGGUCAAGAUUGACGCUCAUGCACGAAAGCGUGGGGAGCAAACAGGAUUAGAUACCCUGGUAGUCCACGC